GGCAGCGCGGGGGCAACCCUGGCGGCGAGCGGCGAACGGGUGAGUAACACAUCGGAACGUAUCCCGUAGAGGGGGAUAGCCCGGCGAAAGCCGGAUUAAUACCGCAUAUGCUCUACGGAGGAAAGCGGGGGACCUGUGAGGGCCUCGCGCUAUGGGAGCGGCCGAUGGCCGAUUAGCUAGUUGGUGGGGUAAAGGCCUACCAAGGCGACGAUCGGUAGCUGGUCUGAGAGGAUGAUCAGCCACACUGGGACUGAGACACGGCCCAGACUCCUACGGGAGGCAGCAGUGGGGAAUUUUGGACAAUGGGGGCAACCCUGAUCCAGCCAUGCCGCGUGCGGGAAGAAGGCCUUCGGGUUGUAAACCGCUUUUAGUCGGGAAGAAAGGGUUUCCUUGAAUACGGUAUAUUCUUGACGGUACCGGCGGAAUAAGCACCGGCUAACUACGUGCCAGCAGCCGCGGUAAUACGUAGGGUGCGAGCGUUUAUCGGAAUUACUGGGCGUAAACAGUGCGUAUGCGGUUGCUGAAUCCGCUGUGAAAGCCCCGGGCUCUACCCUGGGAAUGGCACUGGAAA
rnacentral:rRNA from 1 species